rnacentral:rRNA from 1 species
AUUGAACGCUGGCGGCAGGCCUAACACAUGCAAGUCGACCGAGUGGCGGACGGGUGAGUAAUGUCUGGGAAACUGCCUGAUGGAGGGGGAUACCUACUGGAAACGGUAGCUACUACCGCAUACCAUUGGAUGUGCCCCGAUGGGAUUCGCUAGUAGGUGGGGUAACGGCUCACCUCGGCGACGAUCCGUAGCUGGUCUGCGAGGAUGACCAGCAACACUGGAACGGAGACACGGUCCAGACUCCUACGGUAGGCAGCAGUGGGGAAGAUUGCACAAGGGGCGAAAGCCUGAUGCAGCCAUGCCGCGUGUAUGAAGAAGGCCUUCGGGUUGUAAAGUACUUUCAGCGGGGAGGCGUUACCCGCAGAAGAAGCACCGGCUAACUACGUGCCAGCAGCCGCGGUAAUAC